UACAGAGGGUGCGAGCGUUGUCCGGAAUUACUGGGCGUAAAGCGUGCGCAGGCGGUUCGUUGUGUCGGCGGUGAAAGCCCCGGGCUCAACCUGGGAAUGGCCGUUGAAACUGGCGAACUGGAGUGUGGCAGAGGGGGGUGGAAUUCCGCGUGUAGCAGUGAAAUGCGUAGAGAUGCGGAGGAACACCGAUGGCGAAGGCAGCCCCCUGGGCUAACACUGACGCUCAGGCACGAAAGCGUGGGGAGCAAACAGG
rnacentral:rRNA from 1 species